CAGUGGUGGCAAGCGGCCUUCUGGAAACUCGCAGAGGGAAAUUAAAACAAGCUUUACCUUACUCGAAGCGGUUUCUACAUAUAUACACUGUCUAAUUUCAUUUGCCAGCCAGGCAGGAGGGGAAGGCGGGCCCGGGAGCGAGGCGGCGCUGCUGGGGAAAGGCGUGCAGGGUCCCGGGGCAGAGCAGAGCGCACGCGCCGCGCAUCCGUCCAUGGUCCGGCCGGCCAGAGUGAGCAGCAGCUUGGAUCCCGGUGGCCGACACCAUCCCAUAGAGUAACACGCAAGGGAGGAGAGACCAAACAGCUCCCCUUGCCCAGACUCAGGUGGUGCCCAGGGCCUGGAUCCCGGCUGCGCUGCUUGUCCCCAGGCACUCAGGCUUCGGAUCAAAUAACCCCAACGGACUGUUUCGCUCUCCCCCUGCCCUUUUGUCUAGCCCGCCCCACCCCCAAUCCCGGCGCAUAUCUUGGAGGUUGAGUUAAUUGUCAUGAGCAUUUUUAUAUUUGGCCAAUCCCAAACUCGAACUUCUCUACUAGGCCCACAUUCCUGCUCAUUUAGGAGUUUAAAGGCCAAGGGAGACUAUAAGGAAGUGAUGUUCUGGCCUUCCCAUUCUUUCAGGCCUGGCCACCAACCCAGUCCCAGGAUUUGGGGGUGGCCUGUUCUGAUCAGUCCAGCCCAAAGCAGGUUUCUUCUCCCUCUUUUGGACUCUGGAAGCCGCCUUGUUUCCGCCACUCUGAGAGCACCUGUCAUCCGUGCCUGAGUUCCCUGGUCACUGAAUUGCUGCCCCAGGGGAUGACGUGUCUGGUGAUCUGGCCUCUGGAAUGUCCCAGCUGAGACAUUGAGACCUCCUCCCACCUUGCUCGGCCUGCUGAACUCUGCUGACAGCAUUUACCCCACGUAGAGCAGGAGGGAUAACGUCAGAAUUUGAAAACAACCCUCUACUGCCCUUGGCUGUCUCAUUUUCUGUGGACUGAGGAAAGUUUGUCACCAGCUCGUCUCUGCAAACUGGGGCUCCUUUGCCUGAACACUGAGGGCAUCUGCACGGCCUGCAGGUGGAAGUCUACUCAGAAGUGCUGCCAGGGCUCUAAGGGCACCCUGAGGAAAGCAAGUGCAAAAGUCUCUCAGUAUCUUGCCUCAGUUUCCAAUAUUAAUAACUGUGUGCUGAGUGCUAGCAGCCAGAAACGGUACUAUUGCUUUAAAGAGAAGUAAAAAAGACAAGUUGUGGCAAAUAGAAUCAUGAGAACCUGAAUCUGGAAGGUUUUUACUAAUGCUCUCACCCCUGUGGUUUUCAGGUUAGCGCUCCACGGAGCUCCAGCAGUACUGCUGGAACCAAUGCACCUCCGUUUUGUUUCAAAUAAUUGAGCUUCCAAUUACGAUAGAGAUCGAUUGCUUAAAAAAAUGCUUGAACACACUGAGCCAGUACACCUCAAAUUUAAAGGGGAAAGUGAGGCUGAAAGAAGCCCUGGGAUUUGCCUGGAGCCACCUAUUUAGUUGGCACAACUUGGCAGCACACCACCAGUGGGGUGGGGUAGGAAGGAUUCCUAUUGUCGACCUUUCAUAGUGUCUGUUCCCACGUCCAUCAAUGGCUGAGGCAAAUCUUCCCACUGCUCCACUGCAGGGAAGGUCAAGCGUCACAGCCUCCCUUUUGGAAUGUUCUGACUGGUUCCUUUCCAUACUGGACUCUCUGCUCUGUUUGGCACUGUUCCUGCAUGAUAAUAAUGACAGACGUUUCACUGACAACUGCUGGAAACUAAUUUUUAAACUCCAGGUCUGUAUUUUUGCUCUCAUUUUGACUAUCACUGAUAAAAAUCUCUUAAUAGUAUUCCAAUAUAUUUGAAGAGUAUAGAACUAAUAUUUGUAUGAAUAUCAUUUUAUGAUUCUAAGGUUAUGUCUAUGUAAAAAUUGUAAAGGUAUUUUAUUUUUUGAAAGAUCUGCUUUUAUUAAAAUGU
ensembl:lncRNA